AAAAAUUCAAUCACAUUUUUAUUGGCGUAACCCAGACGGCAUUGUGCGUACCCCAGUUUGAGAAUACCUGCUCUAUGCUACUUACCACACCUUGGUGGUUUGAUUUGAUGUAUAAUGUUGUGAUAUCAUCUUGCAGUCUGACUCUCUAUGUAGUGUUGAGAAGGGCUUCUACGACGGUGUCUUCCUGGAGAAAGACGAUGACGUCAUCCUCCGUCAAACAUGUCCAUACAAAGACCAAUCAUGUAAUUAUUCUUACAGUUUCAAUAGCUUUAAUGUCACUCAGUUUAGAACUUUUUUCUUUAAUUCCUCUCACCUGGUUGUCUAGGGCUACAUUGAAAGGAAAAACCAGCAGACACUAGGCCCUCCAUGGAAUGAGUUUGACAACCCUAAUGUAGACUAACCUACCCGUUGCCUACUGCACUAUAUGCCUAUCUGCGAACUGUUGGCUAGAGCGCCCGUGCCAAGACCAGAGGAGGCACAUUUGCUCUUUAAUGCAACAGUUUGUGAAAAAAAACUAUCGGUAGAGUUGAAAAUGCAAUAGAAACACAUUGAACAUUAGAUUUUUUACUCGGGACAUGAAAACUCAAGCGACGUCAUCACACACUGAUUUUUAUCUGUAACAAGUCAGUUUGGUGGAAACAACCCACUGGUGGGAAAAGGCACACAUUUUCUUCUUGCAGAUUUUUAGAAUAUUCACAUGAAAAUCUGUCAGCAAUUGGAUGGAAACCUAGCUACCGCUAAACGAUAUGAGUGGUGUAGGUAAGUGAUGAAGUGAAAACCUAUAGGAGGAUAGCUCUCUACGAGGUGGGAUGAGCAUGAAAUGACAGCAGGCUGUUCAACACUGAGCCAUGCUGACUGACAGAUGGCGUGGAUUGGUACAUGGCAAUUCAGUCCCACAUCAUGUGUUAUCACUUAUUUGGCUAAAUGAUUAUCCAUAGUUGCCUCUUUUGAUCCAGCCACAGCAGUCUGUAAAUGGACUGUUACCUUGGAGACAAGGUAAGACAUUAAGACAUUAAGAUGAUAAAACUUUUACAUUCCAAUUGAACUCUGCUUGUGACAUUUUCUCACAUCUUUCUCUCUCUCUCUCUCUCUCUCUCUCUCUCUCUCUCUCUCUCUCUCUCUCUCUCUCUCUCUCUCUCACACAUGCCAGCCAGCCGUUCACCAACUAAUUUUAUGCCUUACACAACUCAGCACAUAUAGUAUGUAUUGCGCCACCUUCCUCAAACUCCAGUUCCAUACAUUUGUUUACCUUAUUAUUAUUUAUUUUUUUACCUAUGUCUGGAUUCUACAGGGAUUUUAAGUUGUGACUGUAACUCCAUACUAAAUCUAAUUCCAUCUCCUGUAUAGUUCUGCCCUCUCUAUAGAUUAUGCUGAUGCCCCACCGUAAGAACCUGGAGCUCAUUACUGGUUCUGUGGGAGGUGACGUGGCCACAAAUCAGUGCCUGGGACACCUUACAGCGCUACCACUGUCUGAACAACAGCCAAAGGGUGGUCAAGACAUCUACUGCAACUUCAUCUUUAGUGUGUCAGCUCUGCUGCGCCUGGGAGAUAAAGAUGGCUCUGGCUUGCUGAUGACAUCUGAUCUGAUCUGACUCCAUGCAAUUUGACUCCUGUAUUACUGACUAUAUUAAAUAAAACUUCCAAUGCCAAA